CACGUAGUUAGCCGGUGGCUUCCUCAUUAGGUACCGUCAUUAUCGUCCCUAAUGACAGAGUUUUACGAUCCGAAAACCUUCAUCACUCACGCGGCGUUGCUGCGUCAGGGUUUCCCCCAUUGCGCAAUAUUCCCCACUGCUGCCUCCCGUAGGAGUCUGGACCGUGUCUCAGUUCCAAUGUGGCCGAUCACCCUCUCAGGUCGGCUACGCAUCGUUGCCUUGGUGAGCCGUUACCUCACCAACUAGCUAAUGCGCCGCGGGUCCAUCUCAAAGCGGAUUGCUCCUUUGAUUAUUCUACGAUGCCAUAAAAUAAUGUUAUGCGGUAUUAAUCUCCUUUCGGAAGCUAUCCCACUCUUUGAGGCAGGUUACCCACGUGUUACUCACCCGUCCGCCGCUAAUCCACUUCCCGAAGGAGCUUCAUCGCUCGACUUGCAUGUGUUAGGCACGCCGCCAGCGUUCGUCCUGACGCCAGGAUCAACUCU
rnacentral:rRNA from 1 species